GAUUGGAGGCAGCCUUGUGAGGUUCCAAUCAGGUAUUGGCUAGUAAAGCAGCCAAUGCAAGUAUGUCUAACCGAUGGCUUGCAAGAGAAUCUAAGAAUUAGAAAUUGAGAAAAAAAAAUCCUAUAUUGAAAUUUUGAGGGCGAUCAAUUGGAAGGAGGAGAGGAGAGAGGAAAGAAAGAGAAAUUUAUGGAAACAUAAG
rnacentral:lncRNA from 1 species